GAUGAACGCUGGCGGCGUGCCUAAUACAUGCAAGUCGAGCGAACUUUUGGGAGCUUGCUCCCAAAAGUUAGCGGCGGACGGGUGAGUAACACGUGGGUAACCUGCCUGUAAGACUGGGAUAACUUCGGGAAACCGGAGCUAAUACCGGAUAACAUUGAAGGCCACAUGGCCUUCAAUUAAAAGGUGGCUUUUAGCUACCACCUACAGAUGGACCCGCGGCGCAUUAGCUAGUUGGUGAGGUAACGGCUCACCAAGGCGACGAUGCGUAGCCGACCUGAGAGGGUGAUCGGCCACACUGGGACUGAGACACGGCCCAGACUCCUACGGGAGGCAGCAGUAGGGAAUCUUCCGCAAUAGACGAAAGUCUGACGGAGCAACGCCGCGUGAGCGAAGAAGGCCUUCGGGUCGUAAAGCUCUGUUGUUAGGGAAGAACAAGUAUCGUUCGAAUAGGGCGGUACCUUGACGGUACCUAACCAGAAAGCCACGGCUAACUACGUG
rnacentral:rRNA from 1 species